rnacentral:rRNA from 1 species
GACGAACGCUGGCGGCGUGCCUAACACAUGCAAGUCGAGCGAAUGAAGUUCCUUCGGGAAUGGAUUUAGCGGCGGACGGGUGAGUAACACGUGGGCAACCUGCCUCAUAGAGGGGAAUAGCCUCCCGAAAGGGAGAUUAAUACCGCAUAAGAUUGUAGUACCGCAUGAUACAGCAAUUAAAGGAGCAAUCCGCUAUGAGAUGGGCCCGCGGCGCAUUAGCUAGUUGGUGAGGUAAUGGCUCACCAAGGCGACGAUGCGUAGCCGACCUGAGAGGGUGAUCGGACACAUUGGGACUGAGACACGGCCCAGACUCCUACGGGAGGCAGCAGUGGGGAAUAUUGCAAAAUGGGGGAAACCCUGAUGCAGCAACGCCGCGUGAGUGAUGACGGCCUUCGGGUUGUAAAGCUCUGUCUUCAGGGACGAUAAUGACGGUACCUGAGGAGGAAGCCACGGCUAACUACGUG